GAGGGUAUAGCUCAAGUGGCAGAGUGUAUGCUUAGCAUGCAUGAGGUCCUAGGUUCAAUCCCCAGAACCUCU
rnacentral:tRNA from 1 species